rnacentral:rRNA from 1 species
AAUAUUGGGCAAUGGGCGAAAGCCUGACCCAGCAACGCCGCGUGAAGGAAGAAGGCCUUCGGGUUGUAAACUUCUUUUAUGAGGGACGAAACAAAUGACGGUACCUCAUGAAUAAGCCACGGCUAACUACGUGCCAGCAGCCGCGGUAAUACGUAGGUGGCGAGCGUUAUCCGGAUUUACUGGGUGUAAAGGGCGCGUAGGCGGGACUGCAAGUCAGAUGUGAAAAUUAUGGGCUCAACCCAUAACCUGCAUUUGAAACUGUGGUUCUUGAGUGAUGGAGAGGCAGGCGGAAUUCCGUGUGUAGCGGUGAAAUGCGUAGAUAUACGGAGGAACACCAGUGGCGAAGGCGGCCUGCUGGACAUUUACUGACGCUGAGGCGCGAAAGCGUGGGGAGCAAACAGG